GUCAUGCUGUAACCCUGAGUCAGCCGGGAAAUGUCCUCCUAGCCUCCCUGCCCUCCCCGGGACCCUGUGAGUCCACCUGCCACUUCCCCAUGGACUGACCUGCACCACCUGCAAAGGAGAGGUUUUCCAGAAAGAAAAAACACACGGCUGAGAGAGCCAUGUGGGGUCUCCGCCACCUGCCUGUUUGGGAACCGG